UCAAUGGCUCUUUUAAGAGCUAUUCAUUUACUAAACAUUACAAUA
rfam:Lepisosteus oculatus linkage group LG7, whole genome shotgun sequence.